rnacentral:rRNA from 1 species
UACAGAGGGUGCAAGCGUUUAAUCGGAAUUACUGGGCGUAAAGGGCGCGUAGGCGGCGAUCCUAGUCAGAUGUGAAAGUCCUGGGCUUAACCUGGGGACUGCAUUUGAUACUGGAUUGCUUGAAUUCGGGAGAGGAUAGCGGAAUUCCCAGUGUAGAGGUGAAAUUCGUAGAUAUUGGGAAGAACACCGGUGGCGAAGGCGGCUAUCUGGACCGACAUUGACGCUGAGGCGCGAAAAGCGUGGGGAGCAAACAGG